GAUGAAGAACGCAGCGAAAUGCGAUAAGUAAUGUGAAUUGCAGAAUUUCCGUGAGUCAUCGAAUCUUUGAACGCACAUUGCGCCCACUGGUAUUCCGGUGGGCAUGCCUGUUCGAGCGUCAUUAUCCUCCCUCAAACCCCGGGUUUGGUGUUGGACCCAAGUUGUGUGAACAACUGGUCUCAAAGACAAUGACGGCGUCCGUGGGACCCUCGGUGCAACGAGCUUUUAGGAGCACGCAUCGAGUUGCAAGGACCUUCCGGGCCGGUCUCCUUUACCAUUUUACAAGGUUGACCUCGGAUCAGGUAGGAAUACCCGCUGAACUUAAGCAUAUCAAUAAGCGGAGGA
rnacentral:misc_RNA from 1 species